GACGAACGCUGGCGGCGUGCUUAACACAUGCAAGUCGAACGGAAAGGCCCUGCUUGCAGGGUACUCGAGUGGCGAACGGGUGAGUAACACGUGGGUGAUCUGCCCUGCACUUCGGGAUAAGCCUGGGAAACUGGGUCUAAUACCGGAUAGGAGCCAUUUUUAGUGUGAUGGUUGGAAAGUUUUUUCGGUGUAGGAUGAGCUCGCGGCCUAUCAGCUUGUUGGUGGGGUAAUGGCCUACCAAGGCGGCGACGGGUAGCCGGCCUGAGAGGGUGGACGGCCACAUUGGGACUGAGAUACGGCCCAGACUCCUACGGGAGGCAGCAGUGGGGAAUAUUGCACAAUGGGCGCAAGCCUGAUGCAGCGACGCCGCGUGGGGGAUGACGGCCCUCGGGUUGUAAACUCCUUUCGCUAGGGACGAAGCUUUUUGUGACGGUACCUAGAGAAGAAGCACCGGCUAACUACGUG
rnacentral:rRNA from 1 species